GACGUAGGAGGCGAGCGUUGUCCGGAAUUAUUGGGCGUAAAGCGCGCGCAGGCGGUCCUUUAAGUCUGAUGUGAAAGCCCACGGCUCAACCGUGGAGGGUCAUUGGAAACUGGGGGACUUGAGUACAGAAGAGAAGAGUGGAAUUCCACGUGUAGCGGUGAAAUGCGUAGAGAUGUGGAGGAACACCAGUGGCGAAGGCGACUCUUUGGUCUGUAACUGACGCUGAGGCGCGAAAGCGUGGGGAGCAAACAGG
rnacentral:rRNA from 1 species